rnacentral:rRNA from 1 species
AGUGAACGCUGGCGGUAGGCCUAACACAUGCAAGUCGAACGGCAGCACAGUAAGAGCUUGCUCUUACGGGUGGCGAGUGGCGGACGGGUGAGGAAUACAUCGGAAUCUACUUUUUCGUGGGGGAUAACGUAGGGAAACUUACGCUAAUACCGCAUACGACCUACGGGUGAAAGCAGGGGAUCUUCGGACCUCGCGCGAUUGAAUGACCCGAUGUCGGAUUAGCUAGUUGGCGGGGUAAAGGCCUACCAAGGCGACGAUCCGUAGCUGGUCUGAGAGGAUGAUCAGCCACACUGGAACUGAGACACGGUCCAGACUCCUACAGGAGGCAGCAGUGGGGAAUAUUGGACAAUGGGUGAAAGCCUGAUCCAGCCAUACCGCGUGGGUGAAGAAGGCCUUCGGGUUGUAAAGCCCUUUUGUUGGGAAAGAAAAGCAGCAGGUUAAUACCCCGCUGUUCUGACGGUACCCAAAGAAUAAGCACCGGCUAACUUCGUG